rnacentral:rRNA from 1 species
CAACCUGCCGAUGACUCGGGGAUAGCCUUUCGAAAGAAAGAUUAAUACCCGAUGGCAUAGUUCUUCCGCAUGGUGGAACUAUUAGAGAAUUUCGGUCAUCGAUGGGGAUGCGUUCCAUUAGGUUGUUGGCGGGGUAACGGCCCACCAAGCCUUCGAUGGAUAGGGGUUCUGAGAGGAAGGUCCCCCACAUUGGAACUGAGACACGGUCCAAACUCCUACGGGAGGCAGCAGUGAGGAAUACUGGUCAAUGGGCGAUGGCCUGAACCAGCCAAGUAGCGUGAAGGAUGACUGCCCUAUGGGUUGUAAACUUCUUUUAUAAAGGAAUAAAGUCGGGUAUGCAUACCCGUUUGCGUGUACUUUAUGAAUAAGGAUCGGCUAACUCCGUGCCAGCAGCCGCGGUAAUACGGAGGAUCCGAGCGUUAUCCGGAUUUAUUGGGUUUAAAGGGAGCGUAGAUGGAUGUUUAAGUCAGUUGUGAAAGUUUGCGGCUCAACCGUAAAAUUGCAGUUGAUACUGGAUGUCUUGAGUGCAGUUGAGGCAGGCGGAAUUCGUGGUGUAGCGGUGAAAUGCUUAGAUAUCACGAAGAACUCCGAUUG